GGAGAUUGUAAAGGGCAGGGACUUGGACUGGCAAAGUGGACACAAGACAAGGCAGGUCUUUGGAAGUGGUGGACACAUUAAAAAAUAAAGCAAAAGGGAAGAUCUAUGAGCCCAAUGUGGAGUGGUGCAUUCCAAGAAGGUUGGUUUGAUGCCCGGAACAAUGUUGAAAUUUAUCUGGCAAUCAGUAUAUCUGCUGUGAAGAAAUACGGAAAAGCCAGAAAAAUUGAGGCAGCAAGUUGAGCGAUGUUGACUAAUAGGUCCUCCUCUGUGGAAAGGAGUAUCUCACUUACAUUAGUAAAUAGCUUCUACUCAAGGAUGAGCCUUUGAUUAGGGUGUGGCACAGCACUGGCCCUGCCCUGAUCCAGCCGGUAGAAAAGGAUACUGUUGCAUAUCUUUAUGAGAAGAAAGUGAAAAAACAACACUAUUCUGUCCACUAUAUGUGACUUUGAACAAGAAAACAUUAUCCCCAGCCUCACUUUCUGCAUUGAUGUUAUAUGGGGAGAAUAAAAUCUUUUCUGCUUGUACUGACAUAGUAAUAGUAAAAUGGCUAAUUAGAUUCAGAGUGACUAAGAAAGAAGAUUGAGGUCUUCAACUAGAGAUCAAAUUUGAUAAACCAAGAGGAUUUGACUGAAUGUAAUCUGGGCUAGACACCAUGAGGAACAAUGACAUGUACAAUCCUCCCUUGCUCCUGUAUGCUUUCAGAGGUAAAAUGUGUGAAACAAUCAGCAAAUAAAACAUAGUUGUCGUACCAAGUUAGUACUAAAAAUCUGGGUCAAAAAUGGGGAAUAAUUGUAGUAGGACGCCAUAAACAAAAAGUCAAGAGAAGGCAGGGAGCAUCACGGAUGAGAGUUAUGAAAGAGGUAUGACCAGGGUUAGGUCUUCAGAGAGCAGGGUGGGAAAAGGGAAUAUAUUUCCAGGAACUGCACUGGUGCAGGUUCCAGGGUGA